AGGAUUAACGCUGGCGGCGUGCCUAACACAUGCAAGUCGAACGAGGUAGCAAUACCUAGUGGCAGACGGGUGAGUAGCGCGUGGUCAACCUACCGUUGAGUGGGGGAUAACUAGCCGAAAGGUUAGCUAAUACCGCAUACGUCUCCGAGGGGCAUCCCUUGGCGAUAAAAGGAGCAAUCCGCUCGAUGACGGGACCGCGUCCCAUUAGCUAGUUGGUGGGGUAACGGCCUACCAAGGCAUCGAUGGGUAGCUGGUUUGAGAGAGCGACCAGCCACACUGGGACUGAGAUACGGCCCAGACUCCUACGGGAGACAGCAGUGAGGAAUUUUCCGCAAUGGGCGAAGGCCUGACGGAGCGACGCCGCGUGUGGGAAGAAGGCCUUCGGGUCGUAAACCACUGUCGAAGGGGAAGAUAAUGACGGUACCCUUGGAGGAAGCCCCGGCUAACUACGUGCCAGCAGCCGC
rnacentral:rRNA from 1 species